UGUAGCAAUCUAGUGAAGCAA
rnacentral:piRNA from 1 species